CGAGUGCGUUCAGAGUUUGAUCCUGGCUCAGAUUGAACGCUGGCGGCAGGCUUAACACAUGCAAGUCGAACGGUAACAGGGAGAAGCUUGCUUCUUUGCUGACGAGUGGCGGACGGGUGAGUAAUGCUUGGGAAUCUGGCUUAUGGAGGGGGAUAACUACUGGAAACGGUAGCUAAUACCGCGUAAUGUCUGCGGACUAAAGGGUGGGACUUUCGGGCCACCUGCCAUAAGAUGAGCCCAAGUGAGAUUAGGUAGUUGGUGAGGUAAUGGCUCACCAAGCCGUCGAUCUCUAGCUGGUCUGAGAGGAUGACCAGCCACACUGGAACUGAGACACGGUCCAG
rnacentral:rRNA from 1 species